rnacentral:rRNA from 1 species
UACGGAGGGGGCUAGCGUUGUUCGGAAUUACUGGGCGUAAAGCGCACGUAGGCGGCUUUGUAAGUUAGAGGUGAAAGCCCAGGGCUUAACCCUGGAAUUGCCUUUAAGACUGCAUCGCUAGAAUCGUGGAGAGGUGAGUGGAAUUCCGAGUGUAGAGGUGAAAUUCGUAGAUAUUCGGGAAGAACACCAGUGGCGAAGGGCGACU